rnacentral:rRNA from 1 species
AAAGGGUGUGUAGGCGGGCUGUUAAGUCAGUGGUGAAAUCUCCGGGCUCAACCUGGAAACUGCCAUUGAUACUAUCAGUCUUGAAUCUUGUUGAGGUUGGCGGAAUAUGUCAUGUAGCGGUGAAAUGCAUAGAUAUGACAUAGAACACCGAUUGCGAAGGCAGCUAACUAAACAAGUAUUGACGCUGAGGCACGAAAGCGUGGGGAUCAAACAGGAUUAGAUACCCCAGU